CCUAUUUUAAGGUUUUGAUGUUGACA
rnacentral:piRNA from 1 species